rnacentral:ncRNA from 1 species
CCCGAGGAGCGCUGCGAGGCUUGUCCCCAGGCUCGGGUCUUUUACAACGGCGCUCACC